GCCGGGCGCCGGUGGCUCACGCCUGUAAUCCCAGCACUUUGGGAGGCCGAGACGGGCGGAUCACGAGGUCAGGAGAUCGAGACCAUCCUGGCUAACACGGUGAAACCCCGUCUCUACUAAAAUACAAAAAAAAUUAGCCGGGCAUGGUGGCGGGCGCCUGUAGUCCCAGCUACUUGGGAGGCUGAGGNNNNNNNNNNUUGUAUUUUAGUAGAGACGGGGUUUCACCGUGUUAGCCAGGAUGGUCUUGAUCUCCUGACCUCGUGAUCCGCCCAUCUCGGC
rnacentral:SRP_RNA from 1 species